CGAUAGCUCAGUCGGUAGAGCAAAGGACUGAAAAUCCUUGUGUCACUGGUUCGAUUCCGGUUCGA
rnacentral:tRNA from 1 species